UACAGAGGUCUCAAGCGUUUGUUCGGAUUCAUUGGGCGUAAAGGGUGCGUAGGUGGCGUCGUAAGUCGGGUGUGAAAUUUCGGAGCUUAACUCCGAAACUGCAUUCGAUACUGCCGUGCUUGAGGACUGGAGAGGAGACUGGAAUUUACGGUGUAGCGGUGAAAUGCGUAGAUAUCGUAAGGAAGACCAGUGGCGAAGGCGGGUCUCUGGACAGUUCCUGACGCUGAGGCACGAAGGUCAGGGGGAGCAAACGGGG
rnacentral:rRNA from 1 species